UCGAGGAUCUUCGGCAAUGGGCGCAAGCCUGACCGAGCGACGCCGCGUGUGCGAUGAAGGCCUUCGGGUUGUAAAGCACUGUCGAGGGGGAGGAAACCCCGCAAGGGGCUGACCUAUCCCUGGAGGAAGCACGGGCUAAGUUCGUGCCAGCAGCCGCGGUAAGACGAACCGUGCGAACGUUGUUCGGAAUCACUGGGCUUAAAGGGCGCGUAGGCGGGCGGGCAAGCCCGGGGUGAAAUCUUUCGGCUCAACCGGAAAAGUGCCUCGGGGACUGCUCGUCUGGAGUGAGGUAGGGGCCGCGGGAACUUCCGGUGGAGCGGUGAAAUGCGUUGAUAUCGGAAGGAACGCCGGUGGCGAAAGCGCGCGGCUGGCCCUCAACUGACGCUGAGGCGCGAAAGCUAGGGGAGCGAACGGGAUUAGAUACCCCCGUAGUCC
rnacentral:rRNA from 1 species